rnacentral:rRNA from 1 species
AUUGAACGCUGGCGGCAGGCCUAACACAUGCAAGUCGAACGGUAACAGGAAGAAGCUUGCUUCUUUGCUGACGAGUGGCGGACGGGUGAGUAAUGUCUGGGAAACUGCCUGAUGGAGGGGGAUAACUACUGGAAACGGUAGCUAAUACCGCAUAACGUCGCAAGACCAAAAAGGGGGACCUUCGGGCCUCUUGCCAUCGGAUGUGCCCAGAUGGGAUUAGCUAGUAGGUGGGGUAACGGCUCACCUCGGCGACGAUCCCUAGCUGGUCUGAGAGGAUGACCAGCCACACUGGAACUGAGACACGGUCCAGACUCCUACGGGAGGCAGCAGUGGGGAAUAUUGCACAAUGGGCGCAAGCCUGAUGCAGCCAUGCCGCGUGUAUGAAGAAGGCCUUCGGGUUGUAAAGUACUUUCAGCGGGGAGGAAGGGAGUAAAGUUAAUACCUUUGCUCAUUGACGUUACCCGCAGAAGAAGCACCGGCUAACUCCGUG